AUGAUUGUCCAUGUUCCAACAUUUCAUCCUUGAAAACUAAGUUGCAUGAACCACCAUCAUCAAUACAAUAUUGCCUUGAAAGUUCUACAACAGCUCUGGCAGCUAGGCUUGCAUGUUCUCCAAACUCAGCCGCUGCUUGAGCAGCAGAGGUAGCAUCCUUAAAUUUCCUGUUCCAAUACUGCCUACCAACAGAAAAAUUACCAUUACUAUCUCAAGGAAAUGAUUGCCCAUGUUCCAACCUUUCAUCCUUGAAACCUAAGUGACAUGAACCACCAUCAUCAUCACAAUAUUUCCUUGAAAGUUCUACAACAGCUCUGGCCGGCAGGCUUGCAUGUUCUACAAACUCAGUCGCUACUUGAGCAGCUGAGGUAGAAUCCUCAAAUUUCAUGUUCCAAUUCUGCUUGCCAAUAGAAAACUUACCAUUACCAUCUCCAGGAAAUGAUUGCCCAUGUUCCAACCCUUCAUCCUUGAAACCUAAGUGGCAUGAACUACCAUCAUCAACAUAAUAUUGCCUUGAAAGUUCUACAAUAGCUCUGGCAGCUAGCCUUGCAUGUUCUGCAAACUCAGCCGCUGCUUGAGCAGCAGAGGUAGUAUCCUUAAAUUUGAUGUUUCAAUUCUGCUUGCCAACGGAAAAAUUACCAUUACCAUCUCCAGGAAAAGCUU
rnacentral:lncRNA from 1 species